rnacentral:lncRNA from 1 species
CCUUUCAGCUAUAUGUUGGACCACAUUUAUAUGGAAGAGGAAUCAUGAUUCUUUGAGAUGAGUCCUUAAAUACCUAUGGUAGAAGAACCCUGCAUUUUCAGAAAGUCAAAGAGCUGAGAGAAUAAGAAGCAGCCUUACAAGGCGAACUGCAGUGCUGCCGACAAUCUCUCCCCUGGAGGUGGGCAAGUCCGCAUGGUCCUCACACCUCAUACCUUUUAAUGGGAUAAAAGCCUCACUGCAAAGUUACCUUCAUUGCAAAGGUUGCAAUUCAUCAGCUGAGUAUAUAUUCAGCACUGCACACUGGCUGACACAAUUCCUACCCACGACACCCU